GACGAAUGCUGGCGGCGUGCCUAAUACAUGCAAGUUGAGCGAUGAAGAUUGGUGCUUGCACCAAUUUGAAGAGCAGCGAACGGGUGAGUAACGCGUGGGGAAUCUGCCUUUGAGCGGGGGACAACAUUUGGAAACGAAUGCUAAUACCGCAUAACAACUUUAAACAUAAGUUUUAAGUUUGAAAGAUGCACUUGCAUCACUCAAAGAUGAUCCCGCGUUGUAUUAGCUAGUUGGCGAGGUAAAGGCUCACCAAGGCGAUGAUACAUAGCCGACCUGAGAGGGUGAUCGGCCACAUUGGGACUGAGACACGGCCCAAACUCCUACGGGAGGCAGCAGUAGGGAAUCUUCGGCAAUGGACGAAAGUCUGACCGAGCAACGCCGCGUGAGUGAAGAAGGUUUUCGGAUCGUAAAACUCUGUUGGUAGAGAAGAACGUUGGUGAGAGUGGAAAGCUCAUCAAGUGACGGUAACUACCCAGAAAGGGACGGCUAACUACGUGCCAGCCGCCGCAGUAA
rnacentral:rRNA from 1 species